CCCUUAGAUGUCCUGGGCCGCACGCGCGCUACACUGAUGCAUUCAACGAGUGACCUUAGCCGAGAGGCCUGGGCAAUCUUUUGAACGUGCAUCGUGAUAGGGAUAGAUUAUUGCAAUUAUUAAUCUUGAACGAGGAAUUCCUAGUAAACGCAGAUCAUCAAUCUGCAUUGAUUACGUCCCUGCCCUUUGUACACACCGCCCGUCGCACCUACCGAUUGGAUGGUCCGGUGAAGCCUCGGGAUUGUGGUUCUUGCCGCUUUAUUGUGGCGUGACCGCGAGAACUUGUCUAAACCUUAUCAUCUAGAGGAAGGUGAAGUCGUAACA
rnacentral:rRNA from 1 species